rnacentral:rRNA from 1 species
UCUUCCCGGAGGCAGCAGUUGGAAUUUGGACAAUGGGCGAGAGCUGAUCCAGCAAUGCCGCGUGGGGGAAGAAGGCCUUCGGGUGUAAAGCACUUUUUCUGGGAAGAAGUCUUGUGUUUAAUACCUUUGGUUUUGACGUACCCGAAGAAUAGCACCGCUAAUUUUUG